GUAGGUGGCAAGCGUUGUCCGGGAAUUAUUGGGGCGUAAAGCGCGCGCAGGCGGUUCUUUAAGUCUGAUGUGAAAGCCCACGGGCUCAACCGUGGAGGGUCAUUGGAAACUGGAGAACUUGAGUACAGAAGAGGAAAGCGGAAUUCCACGUGUAGCGGUGAAAUGCGUAGAGAUGUGGAGGAACACCAGUGGCGAAGGCGGCUUUCUGGUCUGUAACUGACGCUGAGGCGCGAAAGCGUGGGGAGCAAACAGGAUUAGAUACCCUGGUAGUCCACGCCGUAAACGAUGAGUGCUAAGUGUUAGGGGGUUUCCGCCCCUUAGUGCUGCAGCUAUCGCAUUAAGCACUCCGCCUGGGGAGUACGGCCGCAAAGGCUG
rnacentral:rRNA from 1 species